rnacentral:rRNA from 2 species
CCUACGGGAGGCAGCAGUGGGGAAUUUUGGACAAUGGGGGAAACCCUGAUCCAGCCAUGCCGCGUGAGUGAAGAAGGCCUUCGGGUUGUAAAGCUCUUUCGGCUGGGAAGAAAUCGCACAGGCUAAUACUCUGUGUGGAUGACGGUACCAGCAUAAGAAGCACCGGCUAACUACGUGCCAGCAGCCGCGGUAAUACGUAGGGUGCGAGCGUUAAUCGGAAUUACUGGGCGUAAAGCGUGCGCAGGCGGUUGUGCAAGACAGAUGUGAAAUCCCCGGGCUCAACCUGGGAACUGCAUUUGUGACUGCACGACUAGAGUACGGCAGAGGGGGGUAGAAUUCCACGUGUAGCAGUGAAAUGCGUAGAGAUGUGGAGGAAUACCGAUGGCGAAGGCAGCCCCCUGGGCCGAUACUGACGCUCAUGCACGAAAGCGUGGGGAGCAAACAGGAUUAGAUACCCUGGUAGUCCACGCCCUAAACGAUGUCAACUAGUUGUUGGUAGGGUUAAACCUAUUAGUAACGUAGCUAACGCGUGAAGUUGACCGCCUGGGGAGUACGGUCGCAAGAUUAAAACUCAAAGGAAUUGACGG